rnacentral:rRNA from 1 species
GGGAUUACCUCAGUAACGGCGAGUGAAGCGGUAAUAGCUCAAAUUUGAAAUCUGGCUCUCUCAGGGUCCGAGUUGUAAUUUGUAGAGGAUGUUUCGGGCACGGUUACGGUUUAAAUUUCUUGGAACAGAAUGUCAUAGAGGGUGAGAGUCCCGUCUUGAACCGAUUACUUCGUCCAUGUGAAACUCCUUCGACGAGUCGAGUUGUUUGGGAAUGCAGCUCAAAAUGGGUGGUAAAUUUCAUCUAAAGCUAAAUAUUGGCCAGAGACCGAUAGCGCACAAGUAGAGUGAUCGAAAGAUGAAAAGCACUUUGAAAAGAGAGUUAAACAGUAUGUGAAAUUGUUGAAAGGGAAGCGCUUGCAAUCAGACUUGAGCUUAACAGUUCCCCCUUCGUUCUCGUUGGGUUACUCUGUUUUGUCCAGGCCAACAUCAGUUCGAGUGGUUGGUUAAAGGCUUUAGAAAUGUAUCUACCCUCCGGGGUCGACUUAUAGUCUAGAGUGUCAUGCAGCCUACUUGGACUGAGGAACGCGCUUCGGCUCGGAUGUUGGCGUAAUGGUUGUAAGCGACCCGUCUUGAAACACGGACCAAGGAGUCUAACAUCUAUGCGAGUCUUUGAGUGGUUAAACUCACAGGCGUAAUGAAAGUGAACGGAGGUAAGAAGCCUUAAGGCUGCAUUAUCGACCGAUCCUGAUGUCUUCGGAUGGAUUUGAGUAAGAGCAUAGCUGUUGGGACCCGAAAGAUGGUGAACUAUGCCUGAAUAGGGUGAAGCCAGAGGAAACUCUGGUGGAGGCUCGCAGCGGUUCUGACGUGCAAAUCGAUCGUCAAAUUUGGGUAUAGGGGCGAAAGACUAAUCGAACC